UACGAAGGGGGCUAGCGUUGUUCGGAAUCACUGGGCGUAAAGCGCACGUAGGCGGCUUCUUAAGUCAGGGGUGAAAUCCUGGAGCUCAACUCCAGAACUGCCUUUGAUACUGAGAAGCUUGAGUUCGGGAGAGGUGAGUGGAACUGCGAGUGUAGAGGUGAAAUUCGUAGAUAUUCGCAAGAACACCAGUGGCGAAGGCGGCUCACUGGCCCGAUACUGACGCUGAGACACGAAAGCGUGGGGAGCAAACAGG
rnacentral:rRNA from 1 species